rnacentral:pre_miRNA from 11 species
GCCCAGGUGAGGAGUUUUUUGAGGACUGUCUAACCUGAGAAUGGUGAAUCAUGAAGGUCAAUCUCAGGUCCGUCAGCCCACGAGAAGCUGCCUCCAGAGCU